CGCAACUUCACCCCGCGCGCCGCAGCUGCUGCGAGCGGACGCGGCAGGGCAGCCGGCGCUGGGGACAGCUCGCGUCCACCCGACUUCCUCCCGGGGUCCCCUUCACCCAAGUGAGCCAGCUCAGGCUGUCUGCAAAGCCGGAGGUGCGGGCAGCUCCGGGCAUUGCAUUGGUGCGGAGGCUUUUAUAUGCCAGAGAACCCUGAGUGUGCCCCUGACAUGACAAGGAGCCGUCGUCGUUAGGACUACCGACCAGACUCCCGGAAAUCAUGUUGGUAGGAUCCCAGUCUUUUUCGCCUGGAGGGCCCAAUGGGAUCAUUAGAAGCCAGUCCUUUGCGGGUUUCAGCGGCCUCCAGGAAAGGCGAUCCAGGCAAGUACUGUGUGGUUCUCUCCCGGGAUGCAGCUUGCCAAGGAAGUGAACUUUGAUGUUGUGAAGAGGGUCUGUGUGCAUUCAGCCUUGUCAAACCGCCCCCCGGCCUCCUCCCCAUUUUAAUCUUUUUCAUGGAAAGGAUGUACUAAAAAUUAAGUGCUAUAGUUUAUUUUCUAUCAUUUAGAAUUCCUCCUGCAAGGAUGAUGGCUGAGGAUUUAGGACAAACUAGUGAUAUAUGCAUAGACCUCUCACUACCCCUCCUUCCACCCCUUUUUGAAGCACAUUUUCCAUUGCAUUCAGACUUUGGAGACUAUGUUUGCUAUGAAAUCAUGCAGUGGAUAAUGAUUCUGCCUCUGCAGAUUGACUCUGGGGAGCAGAUGUAAUUCAGACAGAGGUUGCCAAAGUUAGUUUUUCUAGUUUCCUGAAUCUCCUCUCAUCUGAAACAGGACUUAGGGGAACUUAAGAAAGAAAGAACAGACAGUGAAUAAGCAACAUGUAACCAAGUUUAUCUUCAGUUUUUCUGUUAUCAUAAAGGUCUUUGCCCUCUGAGGGGCCCUAUGUGCUUUAACCUGUAUUGUCCCAUUUGUGCACACGGUGAUGGCAGAGAGUAUAACGAAUAACUAACCUGGGAGGGGUGCAGUAGGCACCUUCCGGCCUCGGAGGUCUCGGCUUUCCUACUGAUAGCUGGGUCAGUGAGUGGCCUAGCCUCUGCAUCUCCUAAUUAGAUCAGUACUCUGGUUUUAAGUUAUCAGAUAUCCAUCUUACCGCUGCAAGCUGUAUCCCUGGCACUACUAGAGAUGUUGAAAUUUUAUAAGUUAUACCUAAUCAGUAAUUUGCUUCCUAAAAAUAAAGCUUUUAAAAAAGCUACGUGUAUUUUAAUGUCAUAUAGAAUUAGCUAUUUGUCAUGCUUAUGGUCCCUUAUCGAAAAGAAUUUAUUCACAUCCUCGUUGAAUUUCAUAGACACUUGUACCUAAAAUUGCAUAGUGCAUGUAUCUUUUUAGUUGGAUUAUAUCCUUCUGCCUGUUUAUUAUGUCCACCUGGAACUCUUUGCCCUUAGCUUCCUAUGAUGUUUUAGAAAAGCAAUACAUUUCCACUCAGAAUACACAUUCCCUGAAGCCAGACUUUGACUCUAGGUAGCCUCUGCCCAACAGAGCUUUCAGGUUUCAGCAGUUAACAAAUCUAAUACUAAGAAACUAAAUGCAGGAUGGCUCAGAUCUGGGAACAUUACCUUCUGCAAAGGACACUAGUGUGAACACAAGAUGAUUACAAAGACAUUUCUUGGUCAGGCACAGUGGCUCAUGCCUGUAAUCCCAGCACUUUGAGAGUCUAAGGCUGGAGGAUUGCUUGAAGCCAAGAGAUCAAGACCAGCCUGGGCAACAUAGCAAGACCCCAUCUCUACAAAAAAUGUUUUAAAAAAUUAUCCCAGCACUUUGAGAGGCCACAGCAGGAGGAUUGCCUGAAGCUAGACCCUAUCUCUAC
rnacentral:lncRNA from 10 species